UAGCAUCUGCCACCAGCUCUCCUCGAUCUGUUUCUUUCUUCGCUUGCGGCUUCUGUACGAUGCGCUGUCGCCUCGGACAGCAAAGUUCCACAGAAUGACCCCGAAUCCUCGGCAACGUCCUGGGUGCUCGGGAUUACCGAGGGCCAAUGUGAGCUCAUCAUUCUCUUGGUACACCUGCAACCUCCUAGGCUUAGAAUCUUCAAUGUUCUUCAUAAGACGUUCGGCCUUCUCACGUAUUGUAUCAUUGAAUAUCAACAUCCCAUCCUCUUGGCUCAGGGAGCCUCCAUGAGCAUAAUACCAAUUUUUUGAUCGUUCGAACCAUUCAAUAGUUGCAGGUACGAUUCCCCAUUCGAUCAGAU
rnacentral:lncRNA from 1 species